rnacentral:tRNA from 1 species
GGUAGGGUGUGGCUAGCGGUCAAUGCCAGUGGACUGUAAAUCCACCGCCUCCGGCUUCGAAAGGUUCGACUCCUUCCCUUACCA